CACGGAUAACAUACCGAAAGGUAUGCUAAUACGGGAUAAUAUAUUUGAGAGGCAUCUCUUAAAUAUCAAAGGUGAGCCAGUACAGGAUGGACCCGCGUCUGAUUAGCUAGUUGGUAAGGUAACGGCUUACCAAGGCGACGAUCAGUAGCCGACCUGAGAGGGUGAUCGGCCACAUUGGAACUGAGACACGGUCCAAACUCCUACGGGAGGCAGCAGUGGGGAAUAUUGCACAAUGGGCGAAAGCCUGAUGCAGCAACGCCGCGUGAGUGAUGAAGGCCUUCGGGUCGUAAAACUCUGUCCUCAAGGAAGAUAAUGACGGUACUUGAGGAGGAAGCCCCGGCUAACUACGUGCCAGCAGCCGCGGUAAUACGUAGGGGGCUAGCGUUAUCCGGAUUUACUGGGCGUAAAGGGUGCGUAGGCGGUCUUUCAAGUCAGGAGUGAAAGGCUACGGCUCAACCGUAGUAAGCUCUUGAAACUGGGAGACUUGAGUGCAGGAGAGGAGAGUGGAAUUCCUAGUGUAGCGGUGAAAUGCGUAGAUAUUAGGAGGAACACCAGUCGCGAAGGCGGCUCUCUGGACUGUAACUGACGCUGAGGCACGAAAGCGUGGGGAGCAAACAGGAUUAGAUACCCUGGUAGUCCACGCUGUAAACGAUGAGUACUAGGUGUCGGGGGUUACCCCCUUCGGUGCCGCAGCUAACG
rnacentral:rRNA from 1 species